rnacentral:tRNA from 1 species
GGGCCGGUAGCUCAACGGUGAGAGCAGACCCCUUAUAAGGGUCCGACAGUGGUUCAACUCCACUCCGGCCUACCA